rfam:Schistosoma curassoni strain Dakar, Senegal genome assembly, scaffold: SCTD_contig0013154
GCACUGCUGAGGAGUCCCAUACUAGGACGAAAGGGUCGUCCAGUGC